rnacentral:ncRNA from 1 species
AUUAUUACGUUGAAGAAGAAUAGUAGAAAUCGUCUUUUCAGAGAGAAAAUCCAUAGGCUGUAAGAUUUUCAAAUAGAUUUUGAACCAGCUUUGGAGUUUAUAGAAAAACUAUCGGUUUAAUACCGUUAUCAUUAUUAAAGAAAUAAAUUUAGGUGGUACCGCGAUUUAAGUCGCCCUAUAU